UCCCUGGUGGCUCAGAGGUUAAAGCGUCUGCCUGCAAUGCAGGAGACCUGAGUUUGAUCCCUGGGUUGGGAA
rnacentral:tRNA from 1 species